UCUCGUAUUUUUAUCCCUAUUAUUCGAAUUCCCUAAUAUACAUUCUAUUAUCUGUUUAUAUGUAUUAUAUGUUCUGAUAUCUACACGUUUCCUAAAGAUGUUUAUACAACAUAUUUAGAUUACAUAUUCAACGUAUUUAGAUAUAAUAAAUAUUUUUCUGUAUUCGGUCGGUCAAAUAUAAUCAUAUCAAUUCAGUCUAAAGCAGAAAACGAUAUCACAAUGGCAAAUAAAUGAAAAUGUGUAGUUUUAAUUAAUGAAGAAAAAUGCAAAAUAAUUAAAAAUCUUAAAAGUAAAAGUGCAACGAACUUAUUAAUAAAUUAUACAUUGUAAGUGGUUCAAUGGUUUAAGACGCAAUAGGAAUGUAAUUCUACGCAGCUGCUUAUAUUAAAAAAUUUAUGUGACAUAGCAACUAAAAAGAUAUUGUAUUCUUAGAUGUUGAAAGAAACUGUCAAUUUUGUUCUACUUGAAUGAAUGAAGUUUAUUGCAAAAGAAAAUAAUUAUUUUAUUAUUCGAAAAUUCCACUAUCCAGCCACUUUUGUCUCUCUAUUAGUUCACAGAUACAAUACGACAAGUGCAAUGAAUCAGAUCAUGCAAAAUAAACAAAAUACAAUGAAAUAAAUAUAGAACAAUCAUAUUAAUCAUUAUUGAAAAUUUUGCAUUUUGAUAUCAAUAAUUUUUCUCAGAAAUUACUUUAUAAGCAGUUCAAAUCUCAAGUGAUUUUGACAAGAAAAAUUUGCAUGGAAUAAAAUUUAUUAUGUUUCUGUUGUAUCUCUUAUAUUAGGUUAUUAAGCUAUAAUCAGCCGUAAUAGAUUUUGUUAUGCUCUAUUACCAAUCUAGAUACCAUUAGACAAACUGUGAAUUUUUGCUGUUUAUCUGUAAUCAAUUAUAGGAACAAAAUCUGAAUAAUUUCUAAUUUGUCUUUUACAGGAUCUGCUAAGAUUUUGUUGUAAUAAAUCAUGUAUCAAAUUUAUUGUUUUUUUGAUUAUAAAUUUAAGAUAAUUAAAAAUUUUUUAAAAA